CUGCCCUAGGCUUUGGGAUAACCCCGGGAAACCGGGGCUAAUACCGAAUAUGACCUGGCCUCGCAUGAGGCUGGGUGGAAAGUUUUUCGGCCUGGGAUGGGCUCGCGGCCUAUCAGCUUGUUGGUGGGGUGAUGGCCUACCAAGGCGACGACGGGUAGCCGGCCUGAGAGGGCGACCGGCCACACUGGGACUGAGACACGGCCCAGACUCCUACGGGAGGCAGCAGUGGGGAAUAUUGCACAAUGGGCGGAAGCCUGAUGCAGCGACGCCGCGUGAGGGAUGACGGCCUUCGGGUUGUAAACCUCUUUCAGCAGGGACGAAGCGUAAGUGACGGUACCUGCAGAAGAAGCGCCGGCCAACUACGUGCCAGCAGCCGCGGUAAGACGUAGGGCGCGAGCGUUGUCCGGAUUUAUUGGGCGUAAAGAGCUCGUAGGCGGCUUGUCGCGUCGACCGUGAAAACUUGGGGCUCAACCCCAAGCCUGCGGUCGAUACGGGCAGGCUAGAGUUCGGUAGGGGAGACUGGAAUUCCUGGUGUA
rnacentral:rRNA from 1 species